rnacentral:rRNA from 1 species
GCUUCGGUGCGCCCGCCUCACGGCCGCCGGGGGGCUUCUGCCCCCGGGUCCGCGCGCACCGGAGACACCAUUGAACUCUGUCUGAAGAUUGCAGUCUGAGCAUAAACUAAAUAAGUUAAAACUUUCAACAACGGAUCUCUUGGUUCCGGCAUCGAUGAAGAACGCAGCGAAAUGCGAUAACUAAUGUGAAUUGCAGAAUUCAGUGAAUCAUCGAGUCUUUGAACGCACAUUGCGCCCCCUGGUAUUCCGGGGGGCAUGCCUGUCCGAGCGUCAUUGCUGCCCUCAAGCACGGCUUGUGUGUUGGGCUCCGUCCCCCCGGGGACGGGUCCGAAAGGCAGCGGCGGCACCGAGUCCGGUCCUCGAGCGUAUGGGGCUUUGUCACCCGCUCUGUAGGCCCGGCCGGCGCCAGCCGACAACCAAUCAUCCUUUUUCAGGUUGACCUCGGAUCAGGUAGGGAUACCCGCUGAACUUAAGCAUAUC